rnacentral:lncRNA from 1 species
AAUCCUGCCUCAGACACAUGCUGUCUGUGUGACCCUUCUCUCCCAGCAGUGAUGAUAACACUGUUAAUAAUAGCUAGCAUUAACAUUGGGUUUAAGGGUAGCAAAACAUUUUCCACAUAUUAUCUCAUUUGAUGCAGCAAGUCACAACUUCCGUUGAGUCUUAGUUUUCUAAUGCAUAAAAUGGAAAGAAGAAGAAUACCUGCCAUAUAGGACUGUGAAAAACCAAGUGAGAUCAUUCAGGAAACUCUUAAGACUUGUACACUAUAGGGAGGCAACAUGAGGCAGUGAGAAGAAUGCUGGAUUUAAAGUAUGAAGAUUUUGAGUCAGAAGCCAGAAAUGUCCAAAGUGAUUGCAGAGCCCAAACAGACCUAAAAGAUCCAGAGAAACUCCUGAUACUUGAAGAAACUGAAGAGACUGGAUCUUU